rnacentral:rRNA from 1 species
UACGUAGGGGGCAAGCGUUGUCCGGAUUUAUUGGGCGUAAAGAGCGUGUAGGCGGCUAGAUAGGUCCGUUGUGAAAACUCGAGGCUCAACCUCGAGACGUCGAUGGAAACCAUCUGGCUAGAGUCCGGAAGAGGAGAGUGGAAUUCCUGGUGUAGCGGUGAAAUGCGCAGAUAUCAGGAAGAACACCAGUGGCGAAGGCGGCCUUCUGGACUGACACUGACGCUGAGGCGCGAAAGCCAGGGGAGCAAACGGG